GGGGGGGGCAAGAAGGGAAUUUAUCAUGCACGCACACAUGGGCUAGGUUCGCAUUGUUGUUUGAACCGUUGUUUAGAAAAGCAGCACCUUAAAUAUGGUAAUUAAAUGCUACUAAAAUUUAUUUUUAAGUGAAAUUUGAUUUGUUUUGGUCAUAAAAUCUCUAAAAUAGCUAACCAGCACUUUUAAACCACUUUUUCAGCAGCAUCUAGAAUGUCGCUUUUCCAAAAAUAAAAACAGCUUUCGUCGCUCCAAAACACAAUGCCAAAUUGACCCUAAAUGUGUGUCCUUGUCAACUCAAAAUAAGUCCUUACAAAAUAAAAACAAUGUUCCCAAUUAGAUAUUUUUCCUCAAUUAUACCCGAUUUAGAGAUAAAUUUGCAGAAAAGCCUAGGGCCACACCAUCCAUUUUCACUACCUUAUCCCACAUUACUAGGACCAUGCUAACAUUAUUCAUUUUUCUACUCUUGUGUGAAGCUCUUCCCC
rnacentral:misc_RNA from 1 species